CUCCUCUGUGGUGUUUCUCUCAUCCGUGGCCAAGUCCAGGGCUUUGGCAGAGUCUGCAGAGACUUGGUGGACACCAGGGCAGGUAUUUGGCCAUGAAACCUGCAGCCUCCCCAAGAGGCCCAAAUGCAGCUCCAGCUUUCCGCAGGAGGCCCCAAACCAGCAGGUUGGCCUGGCUGAAGAGCUGACCUUCUGGGGCCCUAGAGACAGGCCUCUCUCCUUGCCAAGCCCUGUUCUGCAGCAGGACAGACCACCCACCACCGAAGGACAGGCUCUGGCGAUGUCACUGACUAAUCUUAGCAGCUAAAACAUCGGAUGGCUACCACCCAGGGGGCCAUGGAGGACCGUGGCAAAGGUGUGUUAGGAACAGGACUCAUUAUUCUUGUAACACAGCUAAGUUCUGGGAGGUAAAAGAAGAAGAAGGGGGUGGUGGGAAGAAAGAAAAUCUUCUUCUUGUAGUCAUCUCAAAUUCCAGGCUGAAGGCACUGCUUGUAAAGCCAUGGCUUGUAAUUGGUACUGAGACUCCCUCCAUCCUUCGAUGUAUCUAUUCUGACCCCUUCAGGACCCCGCCUCCCGCACGACUUCCUCCUGGGCUCCACCAGACAGACCUAGGCUUCAGCUCGCAUCUGCUGCCGUUCUUCCUCCCUCUGGUCCUUGGCUUUGAUGGGAUCCUCCAGGGGAAGCUAUUAGCUGUGACUGUGGUGGUUCAACAGGGUGAGGUAUAGGAUGUCGUCAUUCCUGGGAUAUGCUGAUGUUCCCUCAAAUAUUAGACCUCCAGAAGUUUCACAGAGGCAAUAGACACCAAUAAUCUGGAAGAUACAUGGGUAUUUGUCUUUCCCUAGUAAAGAGUUUCCAGGUAAACGGCUGAAGGGCGCUUUGGGAAAUCUAGGAGUAAGUUCACAUCCCACGGUUGAAUAUUUUGGAAGAAUCCUUUACUCAAGUGUAUUCAGAUUUCCCUUUCAAGGGAUGCCAGGCCUCUGAACUGAUUCAGAUCUGGGAACCGAGUGAGAGGUCAGGAAUCUCCUUGUGCUACAAGUCGAGGAGGAUGGGGAUGGGCUUCCCAUCGUCAGCCCCAAGGACCUCAGAACCAAUCAAGCACAGCCACGCUCUGUGUGGCACGGACCAGACAGUAACCUCCAACUUGCAUCUGGAGGUGAAGAGUCACACUUGAACUCUAACACCCUAGGAUCCUCCCGUCCCCACUGAAAUCAGAGAAUCCCUCUCCACUGUAAGAUCUCCAGUGAGCAUCCCUGUCUAUAGAGAACAGUUACCAAAAUGUAUUUCAAAGAUAUAGAUGCUCCACACACCCAUGCAUCUCCUAAGACUUUAGUGAAGGGAAUCAUUGUUCUUGUAACACAGCUAAGUUCUGGGAGGUAAAAGAAGAAGGGGUGGUGGGAAGAAAGAAAAUCUUCUUCUUGUAGUCAUCUCAAAUUCCAGGCUGAAGGCACUGCUUGUAAAGCCAUGGCUUGUAAUUGGUACUGAGACUCCCUCCAUCCUUCGAUGUAUCUAUUCUGACCCCUUCAGGACCCCGCCUCCCGCACGACUUCCUCCUGGGCUCCACCAGACAGACCUAGGCUUCAGCUCGCAUCUGCUGCCGUUCUUCCUCCCUCUGGUCCUUGGCUUUGAUGGGAUCCUCCAGGGGAAGCUAUUAGCUGUGACUGUGGUGGUUCAACAGGGUGAGGUAUAGGAUGUCGUCAUUCCUGGGAUAUGCUGAUGUUCCCUCAAAUAUUAGACCUCCAGAAGUUUCACAGAGGCAAUAGACACCAAUAAUCUGGAAGAUACAUGGGUAUUUGUCUUUCCCUAGUAAAGAGUUUCCAGGUAAACGGCUGAAGGGCGCUUUGGGGAAAUCUAGGAGUAAGUUCACAUCCCACGGUUGAAUAUUUUGGAAGAAUCCUUUACUCAAGUGUAUUCAGAUUUCCCUUUCAAGGGAUGCCAGGCCUCUGAACUGAUUCAGAUCUGGGAACCGAGUGAGAGGUCAGGAAUCUCCUUGUGCUACAAGUUGAGGAGGAUGGGGGUGGGCUUCCCAUCGUCAGAACCAAUCAAGCACAGCCACGCUCUGUGUGGCACAGACCAGACAGUAACCUCCAACUUGCAUCUGGAGGUGAAGAGUCACACUUGAACUCUAACACCCUAGGAUCCUCCCGUCCCCACUGAAAUCAGAGAAUCCCUCUCCACUGUAAGAUCUCCAGUGAGCAUCCCUGUCUAUAGAGAACAGUUACUAAAAUGUAUUUCAAAGAUAUAGAUGCUCCACACACCCAUGCAUCUCCUAAGACUUUAGUGAAGGGAAUCAUUGUUUGAAUGGGCAAGUCACACACGAUAAAUAAGUAAUUUUUCUAAUCUGAGAGCAUGGGAUAUCUUUCCAUUUCUUUGAAUCAUCUUCAGUUUCCUUUGUCAAUGUUUUAUAGCAUAUGUCUUUCACCUCCUCACUCAGAUUUAUUCCUAGGUGUUUUUUAAAACGCGAUCUUUAAUGGGAUUUUUUUCUCCUUCUGAUAUUUCAUUGUUAGUGUAAAGAGAUGCAAUAAUUUCUGUAUGUUAAUCUUGUAUCCUGCUACUUUGCUGAAUUAAUUAUCAGUUCUAGUAGGCUUUGUGUAGAGUCUUCAGGGUUUUCUGUAUAGAGUAUCAUGUCAUCUGCAUAUAAUAAUAAUUUUACUUCUUCCCAUAAUCUGUAUUUUGACUAGGGAUUUCACAGUAAAUUUUGAAAGGCUUUAUUCAGACUACAUGUGAACUUGGUAUAUGUUAAUAAAAUGGAAUGAUUUCUAAUCUGCUAAAAAAUGAUAAGGAAGUCAGUGGAAAUAUUACAAUUCUAAAUCUGCUGCUAAGUCACUUCAGUCGUGUCCGACUCUGUGCGACCCCAUAGACGGCAGCCCACCAGGCUCCCCCGUCCCUGGGAUUCUCCAGGCAAGAGUACUGGAGUGGGGUGCCAUCGCCUUCUCCAACAUUUCACCCAAUAACAUAGUAUCAAAACAUAUAAAACAAAAUGGACAGAAAUAAAAAGGAGAAAUAAACAAAGCCUCAAUCACAGGAUUGAGGAGACUUUACCUUUCUCAAUACCUUACAGAACAGGUAAACAAUAUGGCGGUGGGGUGUGGAGGGCGAAUAACAGAGCUGACAAACGUGGCCUCAUUGAUACACACAUCAUUUUCACAAAGAUCAGGAUGCAAGUUAGAAGGGAAGAUGUCGUGAUAAGUAAAGGGGACACAUAUGGACCCUGAGGUGGCCUGCAAGAUUCUCAGGGGAUCUUCCUGCAGAGGGAUCUUCCUGCAGGGGAUUGGAUUCCUCCUGCAGGGGAUCUUCCUGACCCAGAGAUCAAGCUCACAUCUCCGGUGUCUACUGCAUUGUAGGCAAAUGCCUUGCUGCUGAGCCACUGGGGAAGAGGGUCUAGCAAUGUUUUAUUUUUCCCUCAGCAGUGGAUAUACAUGGGUAUCUAUAAGUAUUUAUUAAAUACUGUAUUAAAUAGUACAUAUAAGUUUUCUAUAUUUAUAUUUCACAAUGAAAAUCUAUUUGCUGGUAAUUUCAGACUCUGCUGUUGACAGUAUGUGUCAAUAUGUCUUUUCUGGAGAAAAAUUUCACAAUAUAACGGCUUAAACAUGCAUAUGCAUAAAUUCCAUGUCUAGGAAUUUAUGAUAAAGCAAAGUAAGAUGAAAAACAGAGACACAUCUUCAACAGGACGCUUCGCAGAGCUGUCUAUAGGAGUGGAAUUAGAGACUGCACAGAUAGCCAACAAAGAUGGGCUGGCUAAAUAAAUGGUAGCAGCAGCCAUAUAGAAUACUACGCAGCUACUAUGAAAGGUGUCCUGAAAGGUUUUUUUUUUAAUUGGCAUGAAAAAGUAAUCAAGACUUCUAUUGUUAAAAAUCAUCAUGAAACAGGAAGAAGAGUUAAUUGUUGUAAGAAAAUUAUACACAUAUUAUAAAUAUGUAUUAUCUCUGAAAUGACUUAUUUGCUUUUUUCCAGACAAUUCAGUCUUGC
rnacentral:lncRNA from 1 species